AUCCGAUUUUGCGCCAUGGUGCGUUUUGUUUUGUUUUCGCCUUGGCCAUGGUUCGGGCAAGGUACCAAUUAUAUCAAUAUAAAACACGUUCGGGUUCAUUUCGUUUCGGUUCAUUUUCGGGAUACAUGUCUGAAAAUGGCUGAUAUUAAGCUUUGCCCAUGCAGCAAGGACAGCUCGACUAUUUUCUGCAAUCUUACGGAGCUGCUUCCUACGAACUACGACUACCGCGAACUACCGCGACUACGAACUACGACUACGACUACGACUACGACUUCCGAAGGAGAGGGAUGUAUCGACGGCGACCAGGGACCGUCUUCUGGAGCUGUUCCGGAUGGGCUACUCGGCUGAGCAGGCGCGAGACGAGCUCAUCUCAGCUCCGCAAGAGGA